UAUUUGAUUCUCUUCGGAACUGAAGAUUUGGUGAUUGAGUGGCGGACGGGUGAGUAACGCGUGGGUAACCUGCCCUGUACAGGGGGAUAACAGUCAGAAAUGACUGCUAAUACCGCAUAAGACCACAGCACCGCAUGGUGCAGGGGUAAAAACUCCGGUGGUACAGGAUGGACCCGCGUCUGAUUAGCUGGUUGGUGAGGUAACGGCUCACCAAGGCGACGAUCAGUAGCCGGCUUGAGAGAGUGAACGGCCACAUUGGGACUGAGACACGGCCCAAAUUCCUACGGGAGGCAGCAGUGGGGAAUAUUGCACAAUGGGGGAAACCCUGAUGCAGCGACGCCGCGUGAGCGAAGAAGUAUUUCGGUAUGUAAAGCUCUAUCAGCAGGGAAGAAGAAAUGACGGUACCUGACUAAGAAGCACCGGCUAAAUACGUGCCAGCAGCCGCGGUAAUACGUAUGGUGCAAGCGUUAUCCGGAUUUACUGGGUGUAAAGGGAGCGCAGGCGGAAGGCUAAGUCUGAUGUGAAAGCCCGGGGCUCAACCCCGGUACUGCAUUGGAAACUGGUCAUCUAGAGUGUCGGAGGGGUAAGUGGAAUUCCUAGUGUAGCGGUGAAAUGCGUAGAUAUUAGGAGGAACACCAGUGGCGAAGGCGGC
rnacentral:rRNA from 1 species